rnacentral:rRNA from 1 species
UAGGGAAUCUUCCACAAUGGGCGAAAGCCUGAUGGAGCAACGCCGCGUGUGUGAUGAAGGGUUUCGGCUCGUAAACACUGUUGUAAGAGAAGAAUGACAUUGAGAGUAACUGUUCAAUGUGUGACGGUAUCUUACCAGAGAGGAACGGCUAAAUACGUGCCAG